rnacentral:lncRNA from 1 species
GCAAGCAGAGCAGCAUUCACAGGGGGACGGGGCAGAGGGGACGCGCUGCGAGCUCGGGCCUGGGGCAGGGCGUGACCCCGACCGUCCCUGUCUGUGGGGCAGGGCUGCAGGAUGGGUUACCGGGCCGCAGAGCUGGGCUUCUCAGGAAGUAAGCGCGUUAGCCAAACCCGCAGUGCCCUGCGCCUGAACGGCACCCCUUUCCCCCGCUGCUUGCUCAAAGCUCAAAGCGAACCAGCACCUUCCUCACCUUGUGGUCAAGAACACAGGACAGGACAUGCUAGACUGCGGCCCUCCACGGACAGGAGCUUCCUGCCGGAUCCCGAAACGUGGCCUUUAACCUAGCUUGCAGUCGGUGCUGUGCCCUGUGCCUGCCCAGGGACGCGAUCGGUCGCCCCGCCCCUUCAGAGUCGCUCCUCCUCCCCCGGCUUAUUCCCAGGGCCUGACCUUGACCUGGCCUCCCGCCCCUUGCCCUCGAGCGCGUCCCGGAGCGGCCCUCAGGCCCCGGGAUCGUUCAGGCCGCCGGCCUGGUCCACAGCUCUUCUCACGGAGCCUUACUGCGGGCGGCGCCGCGAAGGCCCUGCCGCGAGCCGGCGAAGGUCCAGCCUGGCCGCUGCGCUCCUCACUUAAGGCCAUGAGCUCUCCCUUCCUCCUCAGCCCCCUGCUGCCGCGAUGCUCCCCUUGCUGCGGCCCAUGGUCUCGUAGUCUCCAAAGUCGUAAAUUCAGGCAUCCGGCUCUUGGAAGGUCAUCUCGUAUUUACGGCUGCUGCUUUCUGGGCUCCCCAGUUCAGUGAUUUUCUGCCUUCAGCACUCCCCUUGGUUAUCAUUACCCAAUCAUCUUUGCUAACAUGGGGAGGAUGCAGAGUCACAAGGCCGUACUCAGUCCCUCAGGAAUGGACUGGGAUCAUCAGUACCACGAAGUUUCUCAGGGCCUGGCAAAGCCUCCCAGAUUGGCUGGGCCCAUCAGUUGGAUACUUGAGAGAAUGCUCUGUCGCUGGAAACAUUCCCAGGGCCCGUGACCACGCCCUCUGCCAUCCGGUUCCUUGGCGGGAGCCAGCUGAGGGUGGACUGGAACCCUGGGCUGAAACAGAUCCCUCAGUGCUGCAGCCAGUGACGGGCGCGGUGACGGAGACAGCUCCCAUGCAGCCCCCAUGCAGGAGGCCCAGCCGGGAGCCGCCUCUCUGCAGACAGAAGACCCCCACCCUGGGUGCAAAGCCACGCCCGGUGCUACACGGGUGGCUCCACCUCUUCCUGCAAAGGGCGCCCGGAAGGAGGAUUGGGAAGCGCCCGGGAAGGGAGAGGCCAGGCGGGCAGCUGUAGUCCGGGCAGGCCCGGAGUGGCAUCGUGCGGAGGGCGGAGCACAGCCUCCCUCAGAGGCAAAGGCUGCGUCCCUGAGCGCCUGGCACGGCCCUGUGACCUGGGAGCGCCCCGGACUGCGGGACUUUGAUCACCUUGGUUUUGUCUUCUUUUAAUGAAGCAAUUCUAGUUGUAAAAUGGUGUUAUGGUUUCAGUUCUCAAUUUUUAGCCAGGGUUUGUUUUUUCUUUAAAACCCUCUCAAGCAACGUUUUAAUGACGGCGUCUUACAGAGUUGAAAUAUAAAAGGGUUUAGCCUCGAUGCCGGCAGAUGCAAGUACCUGUGGUCGUGGAAGGGAGGCGAGCGACACCGGACCCAGGAGAAACCGCUUCUUGCUCACACUCGCGUUUCACAGAGUGCACACCGCAAGGGCGCGUGGCGAUCCAGCUGUGGAACAGCAGCAGGAUACGGAAGAGUGAGACUGGGAAUUGAACCUCGGGCGUUUCGGGGAGGCCUCGAGUCUGCCCUCUGGUGUUUUGCUCUUGACGCUGGGUCGAUUUGGGCCCCUCUCGAGUGCGGCCUCCUGGGAGGGAGCUACGGGACAGGCGGCGGGACUGGGGAGCGAGCGGAGGCGGCAGACACAGGCGCUGGAGCUCGGCCACCAGGUCGGGGUCACGUUUACCCUCCCCGCCCGUCCGCCCUUCCCGAGUCCACCAAGCCACCUCCCGGCUGCCCCCGCCUCUUUAUUUUGCUCUUCAAAUUAUUUGUAGUCUGUGUCUGUCCACUAAGAGGUCCAGGCAGCACUUCCCCUUCUCUGGCUUAUUUCCGAGCUGGCGGGGCGGACUGUCUCGCGGAGGAAAAUGGGCCUCUGGUCUUUGGGGCUGCAGACCCAGGCUGUCCCGAUGUCCAGGGUGCGUCCGGGGGGGGAGCAGGCAGGGCCGAGGGGCCGCCCGGCCCCGGCCUUCCUCAGCGUGGAGGCCGGAACAGGGCCGUUCAUGCCAUGCCUUGGUCGACUGAGACAUGGAACUUGGGUCUCUCUCCAGAGGCACAGCAAGCAUCGGCUUAGAACUUCCCCACAAGCAGUCUACAGACCCGGUCACUGCAGCGUGGAUACCAGAAGCCCUUGGUAAAGAUGAUUUAAGCUGGCCGGGCGUGUUGGCGCACGCCUGUAAUCUCAGCACUUGGGGAGGCUGAAGCAGGAAGAUCACAAGUUCAAGCCCAGCCCGGGCAAUUUAGUGUGAGAUCCUGGAUCAAAAUUAAAACCAGGCUGAGAUAUAGCUCAGUGGCACCGUGCCUGCCUGGAAAACGUCCUGAGUUUGAUCCCCGGUACCACCAAAACAAACAAACAAACUACCCCCCACCCCCAACCCUGAAUGGAUCUCGGCCUGAAAGCCCUGAGUUCACUCCCCAGUAGAGCAGAGCAAUGAGCUGGGUGUGGUGGCACAUACACAUCUGUAAGACCACUAACCUGGAGGGCUGAGGCAGGAAGAUCGGAAGUUCAAGCCCAGAGUGAUCGAUUUAGGGACCUAGUGAGACCCUGUCAAAAAGAAAAAAAAAAUGGAGAGAAUAAUUUGGCCUGGCCAGUAGAUGGCGCCUGAGGCUUAUGAUAAUUUUCAAAACAGGGUUAGAAAUACUUUUGUUACAGCUAAUGAUUGUAAUUUAGCAUAGUAACAACAGCAAUGGCAGAGACCACCAGUUCCUUUCAAGAUGUUUGGCUCAAAAAUAAACAAAUGGAAGAGGGGGUCAGCUCUUAGAACAGCGAGCAGGAAACGCAAGUUGACUUAAAUGCAGAGAAAGAGGGUGACCCAUCAGGAGGUGACGGGAGCAGAAGGGAGGGCAACGAGGAAUCGUUGGAGCAGAGCAGCAAAAAGUCAAAUCAAAUCAAAUCAAAUCAGUCUCUCCAAAGGAUCGGGGACAGGGACAGGAGUGAGUUAGAGAGGGCCAGGGAGUAAAAGUCAAGUCCUUUUUCAGUUCUUACAGCUGCAACCGAAAUGUGAACCAGACACCAUGGGGCUCCGCAGAGAAGGUGGCAGGGAAAGGUCCAGGAAGCAGAUGCAAGGGCUGGAGGUGUGCACAGAUGCAGCCACUGUAGGGCAUGGAGGCAGGGUGGGCUGGUCCUAGAGGUCAGGGAGGACACAGGGCCAGUCCCAGCUGUAGGAGCCAGUGUGCAGAUGGGGACAGCUCUAAAGGAGAGGAAUCCGUAGCCUCAACACAGAGGGUGGAAUCAGCUUCUUCCUGCAUGGCUGAAGGCGCGUGGAUGAGGAAGUAGAUUCCCGGGCCUGCGCUCCUGAUGAAAGGACCCAGAGGAGGCAGGAGGCACAGAGGGCUCAGGGCCCCUAGCAGAGCUGCCCUGGAGGUUCUGUAACCGGAUACAGGGUAGGUUUUUUAAACCAUGAUCUUAAAAAAGGAAAUCUUGCCUCUUGGGCCCCUCCGACCACCCUUUGAGUUUCCGUGUGGUCAUCAGCCUGUGGGUGCCCUGAGGAAGGACCCUGCCAUGGGUUACUUGUGUGGUACCUUCGCUCCUUAGUGUCCCAGCGUCUGAGCAGCCUGUUCAGGCUCCCUUUGGCCUCGCUCAGCUGGAACCUCAGAGCCUGCACCGUCUCCGGAGAGGCCUCAAGCCAAGGGCUGUCUCCCGCUGUUGCAUCCCUGGUCAUUCAUCUACUUGGGGCUGAUUUAUGUACGUGUAUGUGUCCCCCUCAUGCCCAGCUGCUACAGUCUAACUUUCCACCUAUUAGAGGAGGGCAGAAGUUUGAGAACAAUGCAGGUCUGAAGUGUUUCCUGGAGGGUGUGGGGCAGUGUUAGACUCUAAGCUAGAGCUAGCCCGAGGGAGGCGUUCCACUAGCAGCAAGAAAAAGUGUGAAGAGAUACACAGUGGAUGGGAAGGAAGCAACGACAUGACAAUGUGCCUGGGUCUUAAGAUUAUUAGCUGAGUGAGGAAAACCUUUACAGAAGGAUGCACAGCAUAGCAUUUCAUUUAUAGAACACUGUGCAGCGGAGUAACCUGGAGGAAUACAGACUAGAGGCUGGUGCCUGACGUUGGGAAUGGAGAGAGAUGGAUCGAACAGGGUGCAGGAGAGGUCUGGGGUGAUGUCCUCAACGGCUCUCAUCUGGAUGAUUUGUUGUAUAUCUCUGUCAAAACACAUUAAAUCAUAUGCUUAAAUCUGUGCAGCUAUUACAUGCAGAUAGUAAGGUUGUAGGGGAAUAGAAUUGCUGUAAUGUACAGUUGCAACAAAAUUGGAACAUUGAACUAACUUUCAAAUGGUGCCAUAUGUGAUAGAAAACAAGGUACUACAGCCGGUCGGAUCUGGAGUGAGCCUGGAGGUGUUGGAGGCUUUGCCCCCACUGGCACUGCUGGGAGGUGUGUGACCUUUAGGAGGCGGAGCCUGGGGGACGUCUUCCGGUGCUGAGGAGUACCCUGGAUGGCUCCCUUCCUUUAUUCUCUUUUCACUGUCUGGUCAGGAAGUGAGCAGCUUCAGCUCUGCCGUCCACUCCCCACCGUGGUGUGCUGCUUCCGUCACAGGCCCCCAAAGCAGCAGGUCCAACUGACCAAGGACUGAACUCUCCAAAACUGAGAGCCGAAGCCAAACCUUCUUAUUUUAAGUUAUUCAUCCUAGGUAUUCUGUCACAGUGAUAGAAGCCUAUCACAACCCCUAAGUAUACAACAGAGAGACUCUUAAAUGUAUACCAUGAGAUAUAUUUAGGACAGUUGUUGUAGAAUUAUUUGUAGUAGGAAUAAAAUAGUAAUAUCUAAAUAUUUUCCUAAAUGCAUUUUCUGUCCAUUCCCUACCCAUUUUUCUACUGAGUGGUUCUUUUUAAAUCUAGGAAUGCUUUAUUAUACAUUGAGGUAAUAGAUUUAGAUAGUAUAUCAAUAGAAAGGAGAGCUACGAAUUCAUCAAAAAGAAAUUAACACUGCAUGUAUGAAUAUGAAUAAAUCUCAUAAAGUACAGAAAAGUAUUUAGUAUGAUAUUGGGUAAAGUUUAAAAACAUGCAAUAGUAAAACAUUUUUUAGGGAUUCAUAUGCUUAUCUUAAAAGUAUGAAAAAAGGCCUCGAGAUGAGAAAUAACAAAUUUGGUAUUUUUCUCUGAGGUAAAAGGAAGUUGAUAUAAUUGGAAAAAUUACCCAGGGGUUUGCGUUACAUUGUCCUAGUCACGGCCUAUUUCUGAUGCUAAGUGUGAGGGCACAGGUUUCUCCUUUUAUUCUUUAUACCUUAUUUGUAUGUGUUAAAUAAUUAUAAGUAGUUCUAUCUCAGAAAUACAUACACAUUUUUCCUUUUACCAAUUGCUCUGAUGUCCCAUCUCCUCUCUCGUGGCUCAUAGCCUCCCUCUGGCUGUAGCUCCCUGCAACCACGGUUAUUUCAUAGUGUGGGCUGGGCAGACUCACCCUGCCUGUUCUUGUGCCCCGUGAUGGGAAUGUCCACUCACAGGCCCUCUCUCCUCCCAGGGAAGGGGACAUCGGAGAAGCCACUGAAGGCCCAUCUUCCACAUCGCUGGCCUGGUCUGGCUGCUGUAGCAGCUCCAGGCUGUGCGACGGUGGGGUUGCAGUAGUGUUUACUUUUGUUUUAGACAAUGGGAAUUUAAAAGGAGGGUGAUAUGGAGAAAUACUUAAAGGAGUAUGAAAAUAAUGUGCUUAUUUUCAUUACAUUUAAUUUGAUAAUAAUCAGUUGACUUUGCUUGAGCCCUUAACCUAAGUUUUUGGAACAAGUUAAGUCAGUUCGAGCUCACUUUUUUCCACAGUGAUAAUAGACAAUUAGUGCCCAUCACUCUUUACGUAUUGUUCUUUCCUGUGCUGAAGUUGCUUACUAAAUGUUUCCCACUUCUUUCUACUUUGAACUAAACAGUUCUUAAGUGUAUUUCCACUGCUUGCCUAUUAUUGAGCAUACAUCAUCCACCCUGUGUGCCUUAAUCUCCCCAGGCAUCAUGUUUUAUGAUGCAGGGCAUGCACACAGCCUUGUGUUUCACUGAGGUCAUCCUAAUUUCUCUUUCUUUUCCAAACUACCACAAUAUAGCACUUGUUGCAUUUUAAAACUUGAGCUGGCUACUGGGAAUACAACUGGUGGCAUGUGUAUUACAUGUGCAGAGCAAGCACAGUUUAUCACAGGAGAAGCUGGUCUGGCCCCAGUGUUUGGUCGCUGGUUUCCUUGAUGACUCACCCAUAAUCCUGCUGUCAGCCUAAGUCAGUCUCCUGGCAUCAGUACAGAAUCUGUUAUGAGGUUUUCAUCCUACAGCCCUUGAGAGGAAAAUACUAGGCUGAUAACAGAGCAAUUUUUUCUUGAAUUGUAUAACUUUUCUCUCUUCUGGAAAUGAGUGAUAUUAUUUACACAACUUGGGAAAAUACAUCCUGGGAACUUUGAUGUUUGAAAAGUGGUGUGAAAAUUCAUUCAUAUUUUAAAAAUUGAGUCUGAGUAAAUAGGAGAAAAUUGAGAAGGAAACACCCAGAGUGUUGGCAGGAGUAAGAAAUUUGUGGAAAUAGGAUUGUAGAAAUGGAGACCUCGAAUAUAUCUACACUAUAUAAUAUUUAAACAUGUGAUCUAAGAAUAUUUUGGGUAAUUUUUCCUAUUUAAUCAUUUUCAAAAUGAUGUUUAAGAAAAUAUGGCUUGUGUCUAGAUGUCCCCCACAAAAGCCUCAUAUGCUCAUAGGUGGAGCUUUUCAGAGCUGGCUGGAACUAGGGUGUGUGCUACUGGGAUUAAAGGUGCAAUAAUUGGAUUAAUCCACUGAUUAGUGUUGUUCUGGGUGUAGGUGAUGGGAAGCCCCACCCUUGGCAUGGGUGGCACCAAUCAAUAGGCUUGUAGCCCAGAUGAAAUGUGAAGAGAAAGAGGGAAGGCAGGCUUGUUGCUUUCUGCCUGCCCUGCCAGGGACUAUUUCUCCUCUGCCUUCCACCCUGCCUUGGAGGCAGCUGACUGUGGACUGAC